AUACGUAGGUCCCGAACGUUGCGCGAAAUUACUGGGCGUAAAGGGUCCGUAGGCGGUCUGGUAAGUGGAAGGUGAAAGCCUGGGACUCAACUCCAGAAUUGCCUUCCAAACUGCCGGACUUGAGGCAGGGAGAGGUCGGCGGAAUUCCCGGUGUAGCGGUGAAAUGCGUAGAUAUCAGGAGGAACACCAGUGGCGAAGGCGGCCGACUGGAACUGUCCUGACGCUGAGGGACGAAAGCCAGGGGAGCGAACCGGAUUAGAAACCCUAGUAGUCC
rnacentral:rRNA from 1 species